GACCUCGUAGCUCAGUUGGCAGAGCAUUGGACUAGUAUCCCAAAGGUCACGGGUUCGAUUCCCACCGUGGUCA
rnacentral:tRNA from 1 species